rnacentral:rRNA from 1 species
UACGGGGGGGGGCAAGCGUUUGUUCGGAAUUACUGGGCGUAAAGGGCUCGUAGGCGGCCAACUAAGUCCGACGUGAAAUCCCAAGGCUUAACCUUGGAACUGCGUCGGAUACUGGAUGGCUUGAAUUCGGGAGAGGGAUGCAGAAUUCCAGGUGUAGCGGUGAAAUGCGUAGAUAUCUGGAGGAAUACCGGUGGCGAAGGCGGCAUCCUGGACCGACAUUGACGCUGAGGAGCGAAAGCUAGGGGAGCAAACGGGG